rnacentral:rRNA from 1 species
GAUGAACGCUGGCGGCGUGCCUAAUACAUGCAAGUCGAGCGAACAGACGAUGAGCUUGCUCCUCUCACGUUAGCGGCGGACGGGUGUGUAACACGUGGAUCCCCUACCUAUAAGACUGGUAUAACUUCGGGAAACCGGAUCUAAUCCCGGAUAAUCUAUUGCACCGCAUGGUUCAAUAGUGAAUGUCGGCUUUUGUGUCACUUAUAGCUGCAUCCGCGCCGCAUUAGCUAGUAGGUAAGGUCACGGCUUAUCAAGGCAACGAUGCGUAGCCGACCUGAGAGACGGAUCGCCCACACGGGAAGUGAGACACGGUCAAGACGCCUAAGAGAGGGAGCAGUAGCGAAUCUGACGCAAUAGGCGAAAGCCUUACGGAGCAAGGGGGAGUCAGUGAUAAAGACCUUGCGAUCGUAAAGCUCUGUUACUAGGGAAGAACCAAUGUGUAAGUAACUAUGCACGUCUUGACGGUAACUAAUCAGAAAGCCACGGCUAACUACGUG